rnacentral:rRNA from 1 species
UACGUAGGGUGCGAGCGUUAAUCGGAAUUACUGGGUGUAAAGGGUUCGUAGGCGGUGCGGCAAGUCGGGAGUGAAAUCUCUGGGCUUAACCCAGAGGCUGCUUCCGAAACUGCUGUGCUUGAGUGUGGGAGAGGCGCGUGGAAUUGCAGGUGUAGCGGUGAAAUGCGUAGAUAUCUGCAGGAACACCCGUGGCGAAAGCGGCGCGCUGGACCACUACUGACGCUGAGGAACGAAAGCUAGGGGAGCAAACAGG